rnacentral:rRNA from 1 species
UGGGGAAUUUUGGACAAUGGGCGCAAGCCUGAUCCAGCCAUGCCGCGUGAGUGAAGAAGGCCUUCGGGUUGUAAAGCUCUUUCGGCGGGGACGAAACGGUUCGUGACAACACCACGGACUAAUGACGGUACCCGCAUAAGAAGCACCGGCUAACUACGUGCCAGCAGCCGCGGUAAUACGUAGGGUGCAGGCGUUAAUCGGAAUUACUGGGCGUAAAGCGUGCGCAGGCGGUUUGUUAAGACAGGUGUGAAAUCCCCGGGCUUAACCUGGGAAUUGCGCUUGUAACUGGCAGGCUAGAGUGUGGCAGAGGGGGGUGGAAUUCCACGUGUAGCAGUGAAAUGCGUAGAUAUGUGGAGGAACACCGAUGGCGAAGGCAGCCCCCUGGGUUAACACUGACGCUCAUGCACGAAAGCGUGGGGAGCAAACAGGAUUAGAUACCCACGUAGUCCCUGAGCGGGCUGGCAAGGCGCAU